GACGAACGCUGGCGGCGUGCCUAAUACAUGCAAGUAGAACGCUGAAGGAGGAGCUUGCUUCUCUGGAUGAGUUGCGAACGGGUGAGUAACGCGUAGGUAACCUGCCUGGUAGCGGGGGAUAACUAUUGGAAACGAUAGCUAAUACCGCAUAAGAGUAGAUGUUGCAUGACAUUUGCUUAAAAGGUGCAAUUGCAUCACUACCAGAUGGACCUGCGUUGUAUUAGCUAGUUGGUGGGGUAACGGCUCACCAAGGCGACGAUACAUAGCCGACCUGAGAGGGGGGUCGGCCAAACUGGGACUGAGACAAGGCCCAGACUCGUACGGGAGGGAGCAGGAGGGAAUCUUCGGCAAUGGACGGAAGUCUGACCGAGCAACGCCGCGCGAGUGAAGAAGGGUUUCGGGUCGUAAAGCUCUGUUGUAAGAGAAGAACGAGUGUGAGAGUGGAAAGUUCACACUGUGACGGUAUCUUACCAGAAAGGGACGGCUAACUACGUG
rnacentral:rRNA from 1 species